GGGAGGGAGCCCCGAGGAGCAGCGAGCAGCGAGCAGCACGGGCGGGGGUGGGGGGAGACCGGCCAACCGGAUACUCAGAUUGGAUCGUUUUUACAUUUCUUUUUUCUUUUUUGUAGAGGUUUAAACGUUGACACGGGAGACACACAAAGCGACAGUCUUGUCAGGGUGAACUUGUGGGCUUCGCGUCUCGUCGAAACCUCUGGAGCUGUCAGAAAAAAAAUUGAUUGAGAGUUAAGGUGUGGCUGAGGGUUUCUGUAAGGCUUCUGCACUGAAAAAUGUCAAAAAAACGAUUGUUUCUACUCGGGAGUGGCCACUCAGUGCUGAGCCGCUUAUUAUGUACCAAUGGCUUUAAAUAUUCAGUCAUUUUCAUCAGGGAAGCUAUUACAUAACAAAUGUAUUGCCAUCUUAAUGUGCGCACCUUUUUGGCUUAUCCCUAGCAAUAGCCUAGAUUAAUUUGACUAUUACGCAGUUAAGAAGUGGGUCGAGUAUUUCUUCCUUUUUUUUACUGCUUGGCAGAUCGUUUUGGUUUCAUAAUUCUGUGAAAUGUAACGGACGUGGCAACUUUACAGUAGCCAGCCCUGCUGAAUGCCACAGGCAAACUGGGCGUGGGGGAAACAGUCCGAACAGAGCCUAAUAAUCCUCAAAUCUCAUCCAAGUGCGGCACAAAUUGCGCAUAUUUGAGAUAGUAUUGCCAUACUGACAAGUGCCUCGGCGGAGCCAGUGGAUUUACCUGAACCAAAGUAAGUGCGACUGUCAAAUACAUUUAGCAAACUUUUUUUCAGCGGAGGUGACAUUUGAAGGCCACAAGAGAGGACGUGCUGUGGUGUUAUCUCAAAGGCAUUUUUAUCAUGUUUCAUAUUUUUAUUAAGAUGCAGUGUCACUCUAAACAGAAGAAAAGGAAUAAUUUGGUACUGAAGGUGGUGUGUCGGUCGGCUGAGGCCUAUAUAAAAUCUUUAUGUUCUGUAGUUACAGUGCGAAGAAAAGAGAAUAGGACUGGCGGGUGUGUCUUUUCCCAAAGCAAACGUUUGGGCGUUGAAUGAAUCUAAAUCCGGUAGGGAAGGAGCGGAAUAUAAGAGUUGGGUCUUUAUUACAGUAGUCUGCUGCGACUUGUUAAAGAAUAUCGUGGAGUCAUUCCUCACUCUUGCGAUGCGUUGAUACCACAAUAACUCAUAAUUGAGUGCACGGCCAGUCUGACCCUGUAUAGUCUAAUUAAGAUAAGCUUUAAGUCAAGAGGAAAGCACAUAGAGUGAAUUCCUCAAGGCCCCACCCUUUGUAGCGCAACAUGGAUGUGGAGAGUUGCCCCCACCUCUUCUUCGUCCUCCUCCUCCUCCUCCUCCUCUCUCUCUCUCUCUCUCUCUCUCUCUCUCUCUCUCUCUCUCUCUCUCUCUCUCUCUCUCUCCCCCUCGCGUCAUUCAUUUCCCAUUUCAAGCUUGUCUUCUGCUGUUUUUCCCCCUCAGUAUCCCCAGGUGCCGACAGUAGAUCUUCCUUUCUUUAAACCAACUUUCGACCAUGGCAUCAGGAUCUACUUCCAGGAAUCUACAGAGGUUAUAAAUUGGCGGAGUGCCUCACCUGCGCUGCUAGACCUGAGUGGCCUGUACCUGUGCCCAUGCCAGCUGCUGUGCCAGCUGUGCAGGGUGAGCAGCAGCAGGAUGUGAAGCAGAACAGCAUCACAGAAAGAGGUGAACAGACAGAAGCUGCAAACAGAGAGACAGAGGAGCAUCAUCAAAGGAAGACUGAGUCAACCUAAACACCAUUGAUCAUAAUAUAUUCAUUAUUAGCUAGGUUGUUUUACAUAGCUUAAUAUUAAGUGGAAAGCAUUUCAAAUUGGAAUUAAGGCUGUAUCAUUUGUUUUGUAACUAAGCUGCAGUCAUACACUGUAAGAAAUGUCUUACAAAAUAAUUACAAAAAUUGUGUGUGUGUUUGUGCACAGUAGCUUUACUGUUGAUCAAUAAAACAAUAAUUGUAAUCCACAACACAACAUUGGGGUCAUGGAACUCUCUUUUGAAAUGUCAAUACAGUAAAAUAAUUUACAACAUUAUCACAAAGAUUGGCAAAAACAAAUAUAACUGUAUAACUUGUUUGUUUUUUUAGAUUUACCAGUAAUCUUGCAUUCAGACUCACAUGUCAGGAACCGAACUACAGCAAAUUGGUUUUCCAGGGUCCAGGCUUAUGGACUUAACACUUCCCGUUUGGAGAAAUACAUUACACUGGCAGAGGGAACAUAAACAAUAAUCUUCUUAAUGUGUGAGCUGCUCUGUGAGCAGUAAUAGUAACCACUUACUCAAGCAAUUUACCGUAUCUGAAAAUUAGAUGGUGACUAGCACCGUAGUGUGAUAUAGUAAUGCAGUUAUCUCCUGGCACUUAACAUGGAUUAAAAUUAUAAUGAUGUUUGUGUUGAUUUAUGUUAAGAUUCAUUUCCAUCUAAUCCUGCUGCACAGGCACCAACAUCAUGAUCUCAGUUCACUUUAAUAGCAGAAAACAGGAUCUUUAAGACGCCCACUUUGACUUACAAUAUAGGGAAGCACAGGUGAAACUAAUAACAUUAAUGAUGGCUCGUUUAGGUGUCACAGUGAGCUGUGUCAGUGAGUAAUGCUCCAGUCAAAGUCAGAGGUCAGAAUUUCCCAUUUGAAAUUCUCAACUUGCAACCUCCAAGGCUCACAUAGCCAACUGUAAACAAAACAUGGCUGACCGUGUGCACACACUUAUACUCUCAGCAGUGCCCUUGGUGUAAAUUAAAAUGUUUCAAUGAAAACAUGAACAUAUGUUACUGUGUUCCCAUCUAGCUACACCAGUAGGUAAUCUGUAAAAGUCAGUAAAUGUUAUAUUUCCUACUGUU